AACGAACGCUGGCGGCGUGGAUAAGACAUGCAAGUCGGACGAGAGUUUGUUUAUAGCAAUAUGAGUGAACUCUAGUGGCGAAAGGGUGCGUAACACGUGGCUAUCUACCUCGAAGUGGGGGAUAUCUCCGAGAAAUCGGAGUUAAUACCGCAUGUGACCGUGAGGUCAAAGUUGGGGAUCGUAAGACCUGACGCUUUGAGAUGAGGCUGCGGCCUAUCAGGAGUUGGCGGGGUAAUGGCCCACCAAGCCUAAGACGGGUAGCUGGUCUGAGAGGACGACCAGCCACACUGGAACUGAGACACGGUCCAGACACCUACGGGUGGCAGCAGGUCGAGGAUUUUUCUCAAUGGGGGAAACCCUGAAGGAGCGACGCCGCGUGAGGGAUGAAGGUC
rnacentral:rRNA from 1 species